rnacentral:rRNA from 1 species
GAUGAACGCUGGCGGCGUGCCUAAUACAUGCAAGUCGAGCGAACAGACGAGGAGCUUGCUCCUCUGACGUUAGCGGCGGACGGGUGAGUAACACGUGGAUAACCUACCGAUAAGACUGGGAUAACUUCGGGAAACCGGAUCUAAUACCGGAUAAUAUAGUGAACCGCAUGGUUCAAUAGUGAAAGACGGUUUUGCUGUCACUUAUAGAUGGAUCCUCGCCGCAUUAGCUAGUUGGUAAGGUAACGGCUUACCAAGGCAACGAUGCGUAGCCGACCUGAGAGGGUGAUCGGCCACACUGGAACUGAGACACGGUCCAGACUCCUACGGGAGGCAGCAGUAGGGAAUCUUCCGCAAUGGGCGAAAGCCUGACGGAGCAACGCCGCGUGAGUGAUGAAGGUCUUCGGAUCGUAAAACUCUGUUAUUAGGGAAGAACAAAUGUGUAAGUAACUAUGCACGUCUUGACGGUACCUAAUCAGAAAGCCACGGCUAACUACGUG